rnacentral:misc_RNA from 1 species
GAUGAAGAACGUAGCGAAAUGCGAUAAGUAAUGUGAAUUGCAGAGUUUUGUGAAUCAUCGAAUCUUUGAACGCACAUUGCGCCCCUCGGUAUUCCGACGGGCAUGCCUGUCCGAGCGUCGUUUGCAACCCAUCGAGUAACACUUCUCGGUCUUGGGCGCCGUCCGCCCCCUCGGGGGAUCGGACGGGCCCCAAAGCCCUCGGCGGCCCCGCGUGCCCCGCCGGAGCGUCUUCGAAAGCAAUCGCUCCGGCGCGUCGCGCCCCGGGACCAAGCCGGCACCGCGGCCCCCCCAAAGAGGUCGCACCCCCAACACCAAACGUCUGACCUCGGAUCAGGUAGGGCUACCCGCUGAACUUAAGCAUAUCAAUAAGCGGAGGA